GAAACCAACAGGGAUUGCCUUAGUAACGGCGAGUGAAGCGGCAAAAGCUCAAAUUUGAAAUCUAGCGUCUUCGACGUUCGAGUUGUAAUUUGAAGAAGGUAACUUUGGGUUUGGCCUUUGUUUAUAUUCCUUGGAACAGGAUGUCAUAGAGGGUGAGAACCCCGUAUUCAACGAAGUGUCCAUUCCUAUGUAAAGUGCUUUCGAAGAGUCGAGUUGUUUGGGAAUGCAGCUCUAAGUGGGUGGUAAAUUCCAUCUAAAGCUAAAUAUUGGCGAGAGACCGAUAGCGAACAAGUACAGUGAUGGAAAGAUGAAAAGAACUUUGAAAAGAGAGUGAAAAAGUACGUGAAAUUGUUGAAAGGGAAGGGCUUGAACUCAGACUUGGUAUUUCAGUGAUCAACUAUCUCUUGUGGAUUGUGCACUCGCUGUUUACUGGGCCAACAUCGGUUUGAACGGUGAGAUAAUGACUUUGGAAUGUGGCUUGAAUUUCGAUUUGAGUGUUUAUAGCCUUUGUUGAUAUCACCAGUUUGGACCGAGGUCUGCGCAUUUAUUGCUAGGAUGUUGGCGUAAUGAUUUUAAGCCGCCC
rnacentral:rRNA from 1 species